rnacentral:miRNA from 1 species
AAGCUUGCCACACUCAUCAGGUGAAUGAUAAUAUCGCGUAUUUACAUGUUGUUAUAGGUUAUAACAUCAUGUAAAUACGCGAUAUUAUCAUUCACCUGAUGAGUAUGGCAAGCUU